rnacentral:rRNA from 1 species
UUAUGCCAUUUUUUUAAUAAUCUAUAUUGGUUUUAUAUAUGACUAGAACAAUAUGAUACGAUGCACAUCGGUCCACUUUACUGGCAGCUAUCCUUCAAGAUUGAGGGGAGGCACUCUUGUGGACCUGCUCAAUGUUCGAGGAGAUACGGCUGACUAAACAAGGUUAUUUUAAAGUUCUGUGUGGUUCAUGUUAGCUAUCUAUCAGUAAUAGUACAACCUUGAUUUUUAUGUCGUUCAGGUUUACCUAACCAUCAGUAACAUUACUUUCUAUUGGAGACUUCUUACAGGAGGUGCUUAUAAAAUGAUAGUUGAACAUGUACAGAGUUUGGAUCACGAUCAUCUAUUUACCAGGCAUCAGUUAACUCAAGGCAUCGAUCAAAAUCUAGCAUUCUUUGUUGUGUGCAUCAUGGAGAAGACAAAGAACAGAGAUUGUGUGAUAUAUCCGAUAACGCAAUAUAAUUUUCUCUUGCAUAUUUAUAAUCUGCCAUUUGAAUGAUGUUUUCUGUGUUGUAGUCAAAUCAAGACAAUUUGCAACUUUGGUGUUAUGACGUUGGAGGCCGUGCUCAACAGCAAUGGGGGACUGUUCGUUGAUGCCCGACCCACGAUGCCGGCGAAGGAAUGAGAGUCGACGAGGAGUGGACGCCAUGGGUUCGUGAACUGGCGAAGCCUCCGUUGUCCGUUUGGUAAUGUCCGACGCAUUAGAGGCAUAGUAUGACUUGUCUCGAUUAUGAUGUCGUCCACAAACAUCCAACGGAGGGGAACCCGUCCCAGUUUCCAUCUUGAUGACUACAAAUAGAGGGAAGUUGGCCUGUGCCUUACUAGAGACAAAUGAACCAAUAAAAUGAUUGGAAAGGUUCUUCCCAAGCAAAAGGACGCCGCCGUCGCCUCGUAUCCCCACACGCCGCUAGCAUGGCCGUGACAACUGAUGAGCACGCUCCACCCCCAUUCCUGCCACAGAUGAAGAAAAGUAGGCUCAAUCGGGCCAUGACUAGAGUUGAAGAAGGCUCAGGCAGAUGGUGAUACUCUCAAACCAGGCUAGGCGGGGCGGUCGAUUUGCAGCGGGGUGGCGUGAGGGAUAUCUCGUUUGGAAGAGCAGGUGGAGUACAAGGUCGCGUCGAGGUCCAAUGACCGGAAUAUCGGCUCCACAGAGGACGCCAUCACAGCCCGUCUUUCUGGCUUGAGGCUUAUCAAACACUUUUGGGUUCAAGAUUCAUGACAAACAAGGCAAGAUGCACAAAUUUAACUGUGGUAUGCACACUCAUUUUGGUGUCACACAACUGGAGUUAUAUCAUCGCUCUUUCUUUUCCCAUGUCAUGCCCACUAAUUUAUACUAUUGUAACCUACCUCAAAUUCUGGUACUGUUCAAGCUCCAUUCUCUAUAUAUGUGCCUAUAUACCUAUAUCACUGUCAGUUCUCUAAGGUUUCUUCUUUUCCUAAUACCAUUUGACAGUACGAAGAUGAUGAUCACAAUAAAGUCAUGCUCUCAUCGGAUUCCGACGAAGGGGAGCCUUGGCGCAGUGGUAAAGCUGCUGCCUUGUGACCAUGAGGUCACGGGUUCAAGUCCUGGAAACAGCCUCUUACAGAAAUAUAGGGAAAGGCUGCGUACUAUAGACCCAAAGUGGUCGGACCCUUCCCCGACCCUGCGCAAGCGGGAGCUACAUGCACCGGGCUGCCCUUUUUUUUAUUUUCUCAUCGGAUUCCGACCAUAUAGCGACUGUGUACCAUGCAAAGCAAAUCGCUUGGAAGGUAAUAAGAGGCAAAUUCAACCUUCACUCUACAAAAUCUGCAACACAUCAUAUUAAUUGGAAACUCAAAUCUUGAUUGCAAAAGUUAAGUCUGUGCUAUAAAUGCAGGCAAUACAAAAGGUAGGAAGAACUUAGGAAGGUUCCUUUUUUGUCCUCGUAAUGGGACAAUUUAACUAAGUUGCUCUCUGCUGGUUGUUUGAAGACAAAUUAUAAUGUGUAACCUAUCAAAUACUAAAUUAAACUUUAUCCUCAGUUCCAUGUUAUUCCAUGUAGUAGUGUAUGCGGAAAUUAUAUUGAUGAUUUCAUUUUACCUUCAUAUCUGCUUAAUUUUCUUACCAAACACAAAAGCUCUAUGUCUUGAUGUGUUCAUAGAAGCGAAGAUAUAAAUCAUGAUGCAAGCCUAAUACGCUGAUAAUAUUUUUACGGUUCAAUGUUCCUAUGAGGGGAGUGGGUGGGGACGGCAAUGAGUGUCUUAACAUAUCAAGCAGUUGCCGCCUAUGAGGGGAGUGAGUGGAGAUGGUCAGAUCUGUGCGGCGGAGGGGUGAUGGAAGCUCGAAUGGAAGAUUUCUCGCGAGCAUCGGAGCAAUUUAUUGGCCAGAUCGACCAUAAAGCUCCUACAUAGACAUGAAGGAUUGUCAUUAUUAAGAAGUUCAAUCUUUGGAAAUUCAGCAUGUGACACUGUAAAAAUAGAAAGAAGCUAGAAAAUUGUCUCUGGCCGAUUUCGUAUGUAGCUGUGAGCAUUGCUAAUUUCUGUCAACAUGAACGAGAUCUGGACUAUUUAUAUAGCUACCAUGUGCUCAACAAAUUGUCUGAUAAUGUAACACUCCUGAAUAGAUUGAUGUAUGAUAAGCACAUGUGU